rnacentral:pre_miRNA from 1 species
AGUUGCAUUACAGGGUGAGUUCUCCAUUGGCAGGUAGCUAGCCACUAUGUAUCAAAUGCAAUUGAUAUCUCUUAGUGUGUAAUUAAUCUGCCAAAGGAGAUUUGCCCAGUGAUUCUCCU